GGCAACCAUAGCAACGACCAUUUGCCUCAGAUCUUUAAUCACUAAAUCUGCACAGUGGGUCAUUAUCAGAUUAUGGGAUUAUCCACUGCAUGCUGAGAAAUCAAACGGGCUGGGACCCAAUCACAGAGAUAUAUUGCACUCAACAAUCCCACUAUAUGACUGACACACACAUGCACCAACAAACAUUUAAACUGCAUUGAAACACUAUUAGGAUUGUUAUUAAAAAAUAAUAAUAAUAAUAAACAAAGAGCAUGGAAUAAUCUCUGAAUGUUAGACAUGUACUCAAUCCAGUCAAGCCAAACUGUUAUAACUUUAGGGGAUCUACUUUUUUUUAUUUAUUUUUUUAAUUUGGCACCGCUCCAUUCAGCAUUAAAAAGCAGCGCGUCCGGAUUUUAGCAUCAACCCUUAGCCAAACACCCUGUAUCUUAGCAGUAUCGGGUUGUGUCACUUAUGUGAUGUACCCCGCCUGCCUGCCUCACCAGUGUCCUCUCCAGUCUCCAGGCCUGCACACAUGAUUCUUAAAGACCAAAACAUUUACAGUACGUCAAAGAGUGGAGAAAGAGGAUGAGACUGGUAAUCACCACAGUGAUAGACGUCCAAUCUUGAGGAUCUUAAAAACUAAAUUAAAAUUCUUCAAAUGAGUUUAUCACUAGAAGACGUCUAAUCCAUUUGAAGUGGGAAGGUGGCAGUGAAUGAACGUCUAUUGCCGUCAAUGGCAGCCAUUAGAGUUCAAAUGGUCUUAAUUCCAGAAACCAUGUAAUUGAAGUUUUGCUCCAUUUUUGUUUAGGCUUCAGACAUGAGGGACGCAAUUCCAAGAGCAAGAACGAGUUCCUGGCCUUUUUUGAGGAAGUUUGCAUGAAAACGGACAAAGAACACAACAUGGUCAAUCAGACUCUUUGAUAUCAGCUUUCUGUAUAAGGUCCCAAGUGUUCCGCUAUUUCAGUUCACUCAUUGGCUUCCAUUGACAGUGGUAGACGUCCAAGUGGCAGGGCCCUCCCACUUCAAAUGGACUGGACGUCCGUCAUCAUUAAUUGCAGUGGAAGAGUUCAGAAUGCAUUAUUUAAUGGUACUAUAGACAAAAAAAGAUGUUAUAUAUAUAGGCUUCAAUUUUUAAAGAAAACUUGUAAAGAACUUCCUAGAAUAUUUCAAACUCUUUUAUUUCACCAGGAGAGAUGUAAGAAAUGAUCCUGGCCAUGAAUGACAGCAGCAGAGCAAUGAAAAACAAAUGAACAUAGAACAAAUAAAAAGUAUUGAGGGGGCAAUUCAUAACCAACUGACCAACCAAAACGAGUCCUACAUCGAUAGCUUAAACGGUGGUGUCAAAUUCUUGAGACAGAAGGCUAUGCUGUUUCUUGCAUUACAAUCUUUGAGAACUCAAUCUCUUCACUAUUUCUAGAAAUUAAACACAAAAACAUUCAAGUAAUUUCUGAGGAAACAGUUCAAAAUCAUGGAUAAAAGUAGUGCUUGACAAAUAUGGGAUUUUCAAAGGCCGAUAUUGAUAUAAGAAAGAAAAAUUCAGCUGAUCGCUGAUGUCCACAGGCGAUUUUGUAAGCUAGGCUAAGUUGUAAGCUAACUUAGCCCAGUGUAAAAACUGCUGGUGGGAUUGCAAUGCUCGUAUCUUCAGACCAAGAAGUGAAUUAUGAUUACAAUCUCCUACUUCCUGGAACAUUGUCAAUGGUUCAGCAAAGAAAUAUUAACUUAACAGCAGCCGAGAUCGCUACAAACUCUGGCAAAGUAUCUCUUGCGUGGACGUGAACCCUGAGUGAGGCAAUCCCGAGAUUUGUUUCGACACAAUCUCUCGUCAACUUUUCAAAACGUGGCUAUUUUGUCUACCAGACAUAUUAUUACCCUUUUAAACGAGCUCAAAUUGUCAUAAGAAGACAAACAUCAAGUGCGCGCCUCGACUAAACUACACACAACCAUGUACCAUCACGGCUAGGGUUGGGCAUCGUUUGAAAUUGAGCAAUUCCGGUUCCGGUUCCAUGUUUCGAUUCUGGUUCCGAACAAUUCUCGAUUCAGAUUCUUUUAAAAGGCAGGGUAAAAAAAAUUGUUUAAAAAUUUAUUAAUGUCUUAACUUCGAUUUUAAUUUUAUUAUAUGAAUUUAACAUUUAUUAUCAAUAUUAUUUUAUUAUUAUACAAUGAAUAUGAAAUUUAUGAAUGACUUCUCACAGGGCCAUUUUUAAGUUGUAUAUAAAUAUCAGUCUUUGAACUUGAAUGUGAUGAAGUUUCUUUCCACAGGAGUGCACUUUCACAAAGAUUUUUAUUUUUCAAAAGCUCACGGAGAAAACAUUUACUCAUAUUCUUUUACCAUACAUGUACCUUAACUGGGAGCUACGAUGAAGCAUUAGUAUAAAUUCUUCUAUUAUCAUCAUUUGAUGCAGAUGAGGCAAAAUAAUAAGGUUUCCUUAUUUUUAAAACCGAUUCUGUUGUGUUUACAGACACAUGCAAUGUUUAUGCUGUGACAAUACCAGUUAGGCCAGUGAGUGGCGCUGUAGGAGUACGUAUAAUGCGGAGAAGAAGAGAUGAGAGAAUCUAGCAAGGAUGCGUUGUGUUGUGAUGUUUUCAGGGGCGCCGUAUAGGGGUCGGUAAAAGUGAUAUUGAUUCUAAGGGCCCAUGCCCUUACGGGGCCCACAAAGAAAAUUAGAACUUUAGGUAAUUGUUUAAAUAUUAAUCAUUAUAAUUUUAAUUGGAAUAAAACGAAGGGUUUCUUUUUCUUUUGUUUUUGGCAAAAAGCAAACACCCAGAGAGCUUAAGUAUUGCCAGCCACCCCAUAACCCCCGUAUAUGCGGUUUGGUCCGCCCUUCCUUCGAUCAGACUGGGAGCAGGCAGCGGUGCGCAUUUACACCAGUCAAUGACUGAGUGCGCGGUACUGCAGAAAUGUUUUCAAAACAAAAAUCGGGUUAUCAAAAGAGGAAAGAAAAGAAAGCAAAACAGGAGAGGGGUAGAAAAGCCAACAGGAUGUGACAAAGUACUUCACAAAGAAGGGUUGGUGUCUUGUGUCAGUGUAGUGCUGAAAAUUAACCUGUUAUCUUAGCCCACUCCAGCCCCAUCUGGAACCUUGCGAUGUCUAUUACAAAGCUCCGAAGCGAGGUCCCAGCUCACUCCGUAAGAAAUACAGGAUUUUCCCGGCCUCAAUGAGCGACAUUCACCUAUUCAAAAACAUUAAUUCCAAAUAAUGACGGCAUUUUUUGGUAUGCUACAGAUGUUGAAAGUUGGUGUGGAAUUUUUUUAUUUAUUUUUUUAAAAUCUGCUUGAAUCCAGUUUGUCAAGUAUUAAAUUUAGUUUGUUAACAAGGGACCUCACUUCAGAGCUGUAGCCUAAAGUGGAGAUCGCAAGUUUCCAGAUGGGGCUAAGCCUACUCCAUAAUGAAAUACUAUAAUUGUUUGCUAGCUAGUGUUUGCUCCACUUUUAGCUUAGAUUUAAUCAGUUUAGCAGGCACACCCUUAGCAAGCUCUUCAUACUAAAACAGUCGUCCCUGCCCUUGCCUGUUGUAACAGUUGUUGAAUACUGUAGUAAAGAUAAAACAAUUUAUUAUAAGUCAUUCAUUAUGGUAUUUGCUUUAAGAAUAUUACUAAUAAAAAUAUAUUUAGAUUGUAAAAGAUGGCCUUCAUUACAUUUCUUAUAGAUGAUAUCAGUCUAUUCUUAUGGAGAAAUUGAUCCAUGCUUUUGUCAUAACUCGGCUGGAUUAUGGUAAUUCUUUGUAUGCAGGCGUCAGUCAGGCUGUACUGGCCCGUCUACAACUUGUGCAAAACUCUGCUGCUCGACUCCUAACUAAAACCCGCAGGCGCGAACAUAUCACCCCGAUUUUAGCAUCCCUUCACUGGCUCCCAGUACAUUACCGAAUACAUUUUAAGAUAUUAUUAUUUGUUUUUAAAUGUUUGAAUAAUCUUGCGCCACCAUAUCUGUCAGAACUGCUUCAGCCUUACAGUCCAACGAGAACCCUCAGAUCAGCUGACCACCUGCUUCUAGAAGUCCCAAGAUCAAGGCUGAAGCUUAGGGGUGACCGUGCAUUUGCAGUGAUGGCGCCCAGGCUGUGGAACCAAUUACCACUCACUAUUAGACAGGCCCCUUCACUUACGGAUUUUAAAUCACGCCUUAAAACAUUUUAUUUUUCCUUCAGCUUUUAAUGUGCAAUGACUGUUUAUUUUAUUGUCGUGUUUGUUUUAUCUUUGAAAGUUAACUUAUUUAGCUGUUUUAUGGUUUGUAAAGCACUUUGGUCUCUUUUGCUUCUUUUGAUUUUUUAAAUGUGCUAUACAAAUAAAGUUGAUUGAUUGAUUGAUAUUCAUUAUUGCUCUAUACGCUGUAUGUUUACAUAAAUAUAUUUUCAUCUUAAAUUAAUGCAGAAAAUGCACAAAUUAGUGUGUAAGGA